rnacentral:rRNA from 1 species
UACGUAGGGACCAAGCGUUGUUCGGAUUUACUGGGCGUAAAGGGCGCGUAGGCGGCUUAACAAGUCACUUGUGAAAUCUCCGGGCUUAACUCGGAACGGCCAAGUGAAACUGUCAAGCUAGAGUGCAGAAGGGCAAUCGGAAUUCUGGUGUAGCGGUGAAAUGCGUAGAUAUCAAGAGGAACACCGUGAGGUGAAGACGGGUUGCUGGGCUG